GCAUGUACAUACAGACAUGUACACGAUCAUACAUACACACACAUACAAUAGAGAGAUGAAGAAAGAGAAGGGAGGCUGUCUCAGGGUUGGUGAUGGAGCUUUUGGAGAUCGUCAAAAAUGCUGGAGAUGUAAAGCAUCGUUCGUUGACUUCACCAUAAGCCUAAUAAUUAUCCUGCUGCUAUAGAAUGGACUGGUCAUUUGACUACAAAUACAGAAAUUUAGAAUUAUACUCGUACAUAUAAAAGACGAAUGAAAUAACAAACAUUACACUGAAAACAACAGCGAUUUUGUAACUUAAGAUCUGAUUCCCGUCGCCAUCUUAAGUCUUUAUUUCUCCUUCGCAGACGUCACUUGUUAUUCCAACAGUGUAAAUCAUACACAUGCCUACAAUGAAUCAACAAGCGUUAGCCUUUACACUGUAACAUAUCAAGUAUAUUUCUAAUGAAGAAUGAGGAAAAUAAAAUAUUUUUCAACAAAAAAAAAAGACAGAUAAAUAAAAAAUAAGUUGGUAUAAUUUUUGAAAUCAACCUUGUUAUAGCAUAGUUUUUUUAUUUCUCAAACAAUGAAUAUAAAAUUGUUCACAAAAGAGAUUGUUGUUGUUGUUAUUAUUAUUGUCAUCAUAUAUUUUUGAAAAUAAUUACCAAAAAUUGAAACGUUUGAUUUCCUUAAAUAAAAUU